GAAUGAUAGAAUGACAUAAAUCGAGAUUGUGGCGGCUAUAAACUCGGCGGUCACGUGGUAAGCACACCACGUGUAGAGAUUAGUGUGCUGCCGAGCUACGCUCGGCAGCAAUAAUAUCACUGCAACUUAGACUUAGUAUGAAAAUAUCGGCAUAUCGCUGCAUAAAAAAUAAAUUUGACAAGCAAUACAAUAUAAUUGACUUUACACCAUGUACCGCAGAGCUUGGAGCGCGGGCGCAGAAGAUGAUGACGUCAUAGGAAGACACGCAGGCAUUGGGCGAGGGAGGGAAAAGAAUAAAGGGAUGAAACAACGGUUUUUUUAACGCGAUGUGUGUUCCGCAAGUAGCCAGGACAUCUCGUAUAUCGUCGGGAGGUCGGAAAUCGUCGGGUUUUUUGCGGAAACCAAAAAGGCGGGAAAGUGCAAUAAAUUUCAAAAUCGAAAAAUUAUGUUAUAGACAAAUUAUGUUGUAACAAAGCAAAUGCCUUGAAAGAAGAGUUAAUCUGUUUCUUGUACUAUUUGUGAUGAUUUCCACCAAGUAAAAGGUACAGUAUGAAUUUGAAAAUGUCUAGAAAUAUUUUACUGUACCGUAUUGUUCAGUACAAUUUAGCAGAUUCCCACGAGUUUUUAAUCAAACACUCUUGCAAAUAUCGCAAUGCGGUUGCCUGUAAUAAUUUGUUACAAUAAUAGCUGUAAGAUAUAUUUUCGAAGGCUAUUUGUAUAUUAUGGUUUGCUGAAUUUGUAUUUUAAAUAUUUAGAAACACAUGGCCAGACUAUGGGCUAUGGCCUAUAAUUCUCAGACUCUUAGGGGCUGAUUACAUGGACCGGGCCAGCCCGGUUAACCGGGCUGAAAAAUGUCACGAAAAUCUUCCUUGGGCCG